AUCCAGACUCCUACGGGAGGCAGCAGUGGGGAAUAUUGGACAAUGGGGGGAACCCUGAUCCAGCGACGCCGCGUGAGUGAAGAAGUAUUUCGGUAUGUAAAGCCCUAUCAGCAGGGAAGAAAGAAGACGGUACCUGACUAAGAAGCCCCGGCUAACUACGUGCCAGCAGCCGCGGUAAUACGUAGGGGGCGAGCGUUAUCCGGAUUCACUGGGUAUAAAGGGAGCGUAGACGGCCGUGCAAGCCAGGAGUGAAAGCCCGGGGCCCAACCCCGGGACUGCUCUUGGAACUGUGCGGCUGGAGUGCGGGAGGGGCAGGCGGAAUUCCUGGUGUAGCGGUGAAAUGCGUAGAUAUCGGGAGGAACACCGGCGGCGAAGGCGGCCUGCUGGACCGCGACUGACGUUGAGGCUCGAAAGCGUGGGGAGCGAACAGGAUUAGAUACCCGGGUACC
rnacentral:rRNA from 1 species